AAUCUCCGUCGCCUAUUCUGGCAGCAGAAUCAUGCUCUUCAAGACUGCUGAAAAAUAGGAAUCACAAUUCCCACCAUUCAGCUCCAUCUGGAAGCAGUUGUGACCAGCUGAAACCUGAGAUCCUACCCCUACCUUUGUUUCAAGGUAAUUUCCAUCAUCACAGAUCCUCACAGGAGGUGAGAGGCUCCGUACCAGCUAUGUACUGACUCCCCAGAGUUUUCCGUCUAUUGACUCCUCUGUGAAAUCCUAUGAAAUAUGAACUUUCAUUUCUACCCAGGAGAACUUUGACAAUCCUUUCUCCAAUGCCUGAUGAAGGGUGUUUGUGCCCAAAAGUUUGCAAUUAAAGAAUUUUUUUUGCAAAAAUCUUGUUGGUUUAAUAAAAGAUAUCAACUCUA